GACGAACGCUGGCGGCGUGCCUAAUACAUGCAAGUAGAACGCACAGUUUAUACCGUAGCUUGCUACACCAUAGACUGUGAGUUGCGGACGGGUGAGUAACGCGUAGGUAACCUGCCUGGUAGCGGGGGAUAACUAUUGGAAACGAUAGCUAAUACCGCAUAAUAUUAAUUAUUGCAUGAUAAUUAAUUGAAAGGUGCAAUUGCACCACUACCAGAUGGACCUGCGUUGUAUUAGCUAGUAGGUGAGGUAACGGCUCACCUAGGCGACGAUACAUAGCCGACCUGAGAGGGUGAUCGGCCACACUGGGACGGAGACACGGCCCAGACUCCUACGGGAGGCAGCAGUAGGGAAUCUUCGGCAAUAGACGAAAGUCUGACCGAGCAACGCCGCGUGAGUGAAGAAGGUUUUCGGAUCGUAAAGCUCUGUUGUAAGAGAAGAACGGGUGUGAGAGUGGAAAGUUCACACUGUGACGGUAUCUUACCAGAAAGGGACGGCUAACUACGUG
rnacentral:rRNA from 1 species